rnacentral:pre_miRNA from 1 species
GUGUCCCUUAGAGUUCUCCUGAACACUUCAAUGGGAUUUGGAAAGGAAAAAUAAAAUAUGAGCCAAGCUCCUGAAGUGUUUGGGGGAACUCCUGGUGCCAA